rnacentral:rRNA from 1 species
UACGUAGGGCGCAAGCGUUGUCCGGAAUUAUUGGGCGUAAAGAGCUCGUAGGCGGCUUGUCACGUCGGGUGUGAAAACCCGGGGCUCAACCCCGGGCCUGCAGCCGAUACGGGCAGACUAGAGUUCGGCAGGGGGAGACUGGAAUUCCUGGUGUAGGCGGUGGAAUGCGCAGAUAUCAGGAGGAACACCGAUGGCGAAGGCAGGUCUCUGGGCCAUUACUGACGCUGAGAAGCGAAAGCAUGGGGAGCGAACAGG